rnacentral:rRNA from 1 species
UACAGAGGUCUCAAGCGUUGUUCGGAUUCAUUGGGCGUAAAGGGUGUGUAGGUGGCGCGCUAAGUCGGGUGUGAAAUUUCGGAGCUUAACUCCGAAACUGCAUUCGAUACUGGCGUGCUUGAGGACUGGAGAGGAGACUGGAAUUCAUGGUGUAGCAGUGAAAUGCGCAGAUAUCAAGGAGGAACACCGGUGGCGAAGGCGGGGUCUCUGGGCCGAUACUGACGCUGGAGGAGCGAAAGCGUGGGGAGCGAACAGGAUUAGAAACCCU